rnacentral:tRNA from 1 species
CAAAAUAUAGCUUAAUUAAAGCAUCUCGCUUACACCAAGAAGUCAUCUGUGCAACUCGGAUUAUUUUGA